rnacentral:rRNA from 1 species
GUGCUAAGGUAGCAUAAUAAUUUGUCUUUUGAUUGUGGACUAGAAUGAAAGGUUUUACUGAAAUUAUAAAUUUAUAAUUUUUUUUUUGUAUUAAUUUAAAWUUUUUGUAAAAAUGCUUUGAUACAUUAAGGGGACGAUAAGACCCUAAAAACUUUAAGUAAUUUAUUUUUGGUUGGGGUAAUUGCUAAAAUUAAAUUUUAGUGUUUAUUUCCUUUUGUUAGGUGUACUCGAGAGGGUUAGUUAGGAUAAGUUACUUUAGGGAUAACAGCAUUAUUAUUUAAAUGAGUUCUUAUCUAAUAAAUAGUUUAUGACCUCGAUGUUGAAUUAAAGUAUCUGUUUGAGGUAGAAAGUUUAAGUGAGGGUUUGUUCAACCUUUAUAUCUUUACAUGAUUUGAGUUCAAACCGGUUUAASCCAGA